AUGUAUUUUGAAAUGGGCAUGAGAAGGAUCAUAAGUAUAUUCCUUCUUCUAAUGUCGAAUAUUCCCUCCUUUUUUUUAAAUGUUGAAUAUAUUCUGAAUGUUUCUCAACUAUCUUCAUGGUAUUUUAUUUAUGGAAAUCAACUCUCGUUUAUGCUCAAUAAUACAAGAUAUUCUCCACUUGAAAUCCUAAACCCAAGUCUGACCUUUCCACCUACCAACCUCCCCCGCAUAGCAAAAUUUCUGCUUAGAGAUAGAGAAAAGCCUAAAGAACCUAAAGAACCUAAUACUAAGAGGAGCAACCCCCAACCAAGGGUCAUCCAGAAAGAAGUAAGAACAUCUUAUCCAACUUUCUUAAGAAGUCAUUCAUGA